rnacentral:rRNA from 1 species
AUUGAACGCUGGCGGCAGGCCUAACACAUGCAAGUCGAGCGGAUGAAGGAAGCUUGCUCCUGGAUUCAGCGGCGGACGGGUGAGUAAUGCCUAGGAAUCUGCCUGGUAGUGGGGGAUAACGUCCGGAAACGGGCGCUAAUACCGCAUACGUCCUGAGGGAGAAAGUGGGGGAUCUUCGGACCUCACGCUAUCAGAUGAGCCUAGGUCGGAUUAGCUAGUUGGUGGGGUAAAGGCCUACCAAGGCGACGAUCCGUAACUGGUCUGAGAGGAUGAUCAGUCACACUGGAACUGAGACACGGUCCAGACUCCUGCGGGAGGCAGCAGUGGGGAAUAUUGGACAAUGGGCGAAAGCCUGAUCCAGCCAUGCCGCGUGUGUGAAGAAGGUCUUCGGAUUGUAAAGCACUUUAAGUUGGGAGGAAGGGCAGUAAGUUAAUACCUUGCUGUUUUGACGUUACCAACAGAAUAAGCACCGGCUAACUUCGUG